rnacentral:rRNA from 1 species
AGUGGCGAACGGGUGCGUAACACGUGAAGAAUUUGUCCAACGGCGGGGGAUAGCCGGCCCAACGGCCGGGUAAUACCGCGUACGACCUUCGGGAGGCAUCUCCUGAUGGUGAAAGCCGCAAGGCGCCGAUGGAGAACUUCGCGGCCUAUCAGCUAGUUGGUGAGGUCAUGGCUCACCAAGGCGACGACGGGUAGCUGGUCCGAGAGGAUGACCAGCCACAUUGGGACUGAGACACGGCCCAGACUCCUACGGGAGGCAGCAGUGGGGAAUAUUGCGCAAUGGGCGAAAGCCUGACGCAGCGACGCCGCGUGUGGGAUGACGGCCUUCGGGUUGUAAACCACUGUCGCGAGGGACGAAGAUCUGACGGUACCUCGAAAGGAAGCACCGGCUAA